rnacentral:rRNA from 1 species
UGACCUCAAAUCAGGUAGGACUACCCGCUGAACUUAAGCAUAUCAAUAAGCGGAGGAAAAGAAACUAACAAGGAUUCCCCUAGUAACUGCGAGUGAAGCGGGAAAAGCUCAAAUUUAAAAUCUGGCAGUCUUUGGCUGUCCGAGUUGUAAUCUAGAGAAGUGUUAUCCGCGCUGGACCGUGUACAAGUCUCCUGGAAUGGAGCGUCAUAGAGGGUGAGAAUCCCGUCUUUGACACGGACUACCAGGGCUUUGUGAUGCGCUCUCAAAGAGUCGAGUUGUUUGGGAAUGCAGCUCAAAAUGGGUGGUAAAUUCCAUCUAAAGCUAAAUAUUGGCGAGAGACCGAUAGCGAACAAGUACCGUGAGGGAAAGAUGAAAAGAACUUUGGAAAGAGAGUUAAACAGUACGUGAAAUUGCUGAAAGGGAAACGCUUGAAGUCAGUCGCGUUGUCCAGGGAUCAACCUUGCUUUUGCUUGGUGCACUUUCUGGUUGACGGGUCAGCAUCAAUUUUGACCAUUGGAAAAAGAUUGAGGGAAUGUGACAUCUUUGGAUGUGUUAUAGCCCUUGGUUGCAUACGAUGGUUGGGAUUGAGGAACUCAGCACGCCGCAAGGCCGGGUUUUUAACCACGUACGUGCUUAGGAU